rnacentral:rRNA from 1 species
UACAGAGGUCUCAAGCGUUGUUCGGAUUCAUUGGGCGUAAAGGGUGCGUAGGUGGCGCUGUAAGUCAGGUGUGAAAUUUCGGAGCUUAACUCCGAAACUGCAUUUGAUACUGCGGUGCUUGAGGACUGGAGAGGAGACUGGAAUUUACGGUGUAGCAGUGAAAUGCGUAGAGAUCGUAAGGAAGACCAGUGGCGAAGGCGAGUCCCUGGACAACACCUGACACUGAGGCACGAAAGCUAGGGGAGCAAACAGG